rnacentral:rRNA from 1 species
GACGAACGCUGGCGGCGUGCUUAACACAUGCAAGUCGAACGGAAAGGCCCUGCUUUUGUGGGGUGCUCGAGUGGCGAACGGGUGAGUAACACGUGAGUAACCUGCCCUUGACUUUGGGAUAACUUCAGGAAACUGGGGCUAAUACCGGAUAGGAGCUCCUGCUGCAUGGUGGGGGUUGGAAAGUUUCGGCGGUUGGGGAUGGACUCGCGGCUUAUCAGCUUGUUGGUGGGGUAGUGGCUUACCAAGGCUUUGACGGGUAGCCGGCCUGAGAGGGUGACCGGCCACAUUGGGACUGAGAUACGGCCCAGACUCCUACGGGAGGCAGCAGUGGGGAAUAUUGCACAGUGGGCGGAAGCCUGAUGCAGCAACGCCGCGUGCGGGAUGACGGCCUUCGGGUUGUAAACCGCUUUCGCCUGUGACGAAGCGUGAGUGACGGUAAUGGGUAAAGAAGCACCGGCUAACUACGU